AUUGAACGCUGGCGGCAGGCUUAACACAUGCAAGUCGAGCGGGGUGAUGGUGCUUGCACUAUCACUUAGCGGCGGACGGGUGAGUAAUGCUUAGGAAUCUGCCUAUUAGUGGGGGACAACAUCUCGAAAGGGAUGCUAAUACCGCAUACGUCCUACGGGAGAAAGCAGGGGAUCACUUGUGACCUUGCGCUAAUAGAUGAGCCUAAGUCGGUUGAGCUAGUUGGUGGGGUAGAGGCCUACCAAGGCGACCAUCUGUAGCGGGUUUGUGAGGAUGCGCCGCCACACUGGAACUGUGCCACGGCCCAGACUCCUACGGUAGGCAGCAGUGGGGAAUAUUGGACAAUGGUGGGAACCCUGAUCCAGCCAUGCCGCGUGUGUGAAGAAGGCCUUAUGGUUGUAAAGCACUUUAAGCGAGGAGUAGGCUCCUUUGUUUAAUACCCAAUAUGUGUGGACGUUACUCGCAGAAUAAUCUCCGGCUAACUCUCUGCCAGCAGCCGCAGUAA
rnacentral:rRNA from 1 species